AUUGAACGCUGGCGGCAGGCCUAACACAUGCAAGUCGAGCGGUAACACAGGGAGCUUGCUCUCGGGUGACGAGCGGCGGACGGGUGAGUAAUGUCUGGGAAACUGCCUGAUGGAGGGAGAUAACUACUGGAAACGGUAGCUAAUACCGCAUAAUGUCGCAAGACCAAAGAGGGGGACCUUCGGGCCUCUUGCCAUCAGAUGUGCCCAGAUGGGAUUAGCUAGUAGGUGGGGUAACGGCUCACCUAGGCGACGAUCCCUAGCUGGUCUGAGAGGAUGACCAGCCACACUGGAACUGAGACACGGUCCAGACUCCUACGGGAGGCAGCAGUGGGGAAUAUUGCACAAUGGGCGCAAGCCUGAUGCAGCCAUGCCGCGUGUAUGAAGAAGGCCUUCGGGUUGUAAAGUACUUUCAGCGGGGAGGAAGGCGAUAAGGUUAAUAACCUUGUCGAUUGACGUUACCCGCAGAAGAAGCACCGGCUAACUCCGUGCCAGCAGCCGCCGUAA
rnacentral:rRNA from 1 species